UACCAGCUCUCCGAGUGGUGUGGAUGUUUAUUGGGCCUAAAGCAUCCGUAGCUGGCUGGGCAAGUCCCCUGUUAAAUCCACCGAUUUAAUCGUUGGAGUGCGGGGGAUACUGCUCGGCUAGGGGACGGGAGAGGCAGACGGUAUUUUCGGGGUAGGGGUGAAAUCCUAUAAUCCCGAGAAGACCACCAGUGGCGAAGGCUGUCUGCUAGAACGUGCCCGACGGUGAGGGAUGAAAGCUGGGGGGAGCGAACCGGAUUAGAUACCCGGGUAGUCCCAGCUGUAAACGAUGUAGGCUAGGUGUUUGGACGGCCACGUGCCGUUCUAGUGCCGCAGGGAAGCCGUUAAGCCUGCCGCCUGGGGAGUACGGCCGCAAGGCUGAAACUUAAAGGAAUUGGCGGGGGAGCACCACAAGGGGUGAAGCUCGCGGUUU
rnacentral:rRNA from 1 species